GAAAAGGCACAUGUACGUUUUGUUGUUCCGCGUGUGCUUCCGAUAUAUGCUACUUAUUGUUCAAAACAGCCCUCAUGUACUCUGGUGUUGUGGGAUUGUCUGGACCUUUGCCAGAAAUGGUAAAGGGUGUUAUUCUAGACCUUUGCCAGAAAUGGUAAAGGGUGUUAUUCUGGACCUUUGCCAGAAAUGGUAAAGGGUAUGUGCUUAGAGCCUGCGAUGCUCUGCCAGCCCCCUCUGGCUUCACCUAGAUGUGGGUGGAUGGAGCUCCCAGACGUGGGAGACUUUUGUCAGGUGGUCACUCAGAAAUGGAUGAAUCACAUUCUGACUGAGAUCCCACUACACCUUCUGUAUGUUUGAUAUGAUAUCCAGAGCUUUGGUUAUGUGUUUUUGUACAUGCUUUGGAUAAGAAUGAU
rnacentral:lncRNA from 1 species